AAAACCCUGGACGGGGGAUCACUCGGCUCGUCCGU
rnacentral:rRNA from 2 species